rnacentral:lncRNA from 1 species
GGUACUGGAAGUCGUUUUGUGCUUUAGUUCUGUAAGUAUCAAAUUCUUGGUACUUUGUUAUCCUCUUACAUCGGUAUAGUAUAUUGUCAUGAAGACACAAGAUUCACUGCAUCAUUUAGGAAGACUUUGGGGAAAUGUGUCUUGUGAAAGCAAUACAGAAUCUCUUACUACUGGGACAAAAUGUAAGCAAUAGACUUUUUUUUUUUUUUCCUUUCAAAACACGCACAAUUUGUUUAAGGUGGCAAUGUCCAUGAAAAAAUAGCAUGGGUUUUCCUCUGAUCACUAUAUCAAAGAGGCAUUUGAUAAUUCCAAUUUAUUGGGAGUUCAAUGGGCUAUGUGUGGACCAAGUGUUCACUAUUAUGGUGUAGUUUUAUCUAUAGCCACUUUGCGAACUGUUUUUCUCAAGGAUUUCCCCUUUUUAGUCUUCCUAUACACUGGCAACUAUUUUAAAAAGGUGCAGACCUGUGUUACCUUUUUCUUAAGUGUUAAAACCAAUUGGAUAUCUGAUGAUAUAUUCAGUAUUAUUAUCGCAAAAUUUGCACAUUGCAUUUCGGCGCAUGCAUCAACGUGGGAACUGACGCUCUUUUUUGGUUGCAGCAAGUACAUGUCCUGUGGGGAUAGCUGAAAACGUAGACAGUGAUGAAUGGAUGUAUAAGAGGGGAUGAAAUAAAUUUGAGACUUCCAAACGUUUUUUAUUAUAUAAAUAAAGGAAGUAUUAUAUUAAUACUAAGGAGGUUCUGUUAUGAAAUAUUAUAUUACAUAGUGGAUGUCUAUAACUCCUAAAGAAGUUACUCCCACUACUCUUUUCCAUUAACCUCCCAUUACAUUGUACCAUUAUAGUUGUAAUUCUCACACUUACAUAAUCUCCUCUGUGAUCUUCCCUCAUGAUCUUAAUAGUUAAUACCAUGUUCAUGGCGUCCCUUUUAUUACCUCAAUAUUAUCCUAUAAAUAGAGGGUUUGGGCAUCACAUUGCACACACUUGAAAAACACUUGAUGAAAUAA